CCAGCCUUUAAUUAACUCCUUCUGACCAAUCAGAGUUCAGCACUCAGCAGCUCUGCGGUGUGUUAGUGUAAAUGACAGGAGGAGGUGUGUUAGUGUAAAUGACAGGAGGAGGAGGUGUGUUAGUGUAAAUGACAGGAGGAGGAGGUGUGUUAGUGUAAAUGACAGGAGUUGGAGGUGUGUUAGUGUAAAUGACAGGAGGAGGAGGUGUGUUAGUGUAAAUGACAGGAGUUGGAGGUGUGUUAG